UAAAUGGCCGCAGUAUUUUGACUGUGCAAAGGUARCAUAAUUAUUAGUUUUUUAAUUGAAAGCUUGUAUGAAGGGUUGGACGAGAUGAAAUCUGUCUUUAUUUAAAUUAAAAUAUAAUUUAACUUUUAAGUAAAAAGGCUUAAAUGUUUAUAAAAGACGAGAAGACCCUAUAGAUCUUUAUUUAAUUAAAAUUUUAAUAAUUUAGGAUUAUUUUAAUUUAAAGUUUUAAUUAAAUUUUAUUGGGGUAAUAUAAAGAUUAAAUAAAUUCUUUUUAUUUAUAACAUUGAUUUAUGAAUAUAUGAUCCAUUAAUAUUGAUUAUAAGAUUAAGUUACCUUAGGGAUAACAGCGUAAUUUUUUUGGARAGCYCAUAUCGAUAAAAAAGUUUGCGACCUCGAUGUUGGAUUAAAAAUUAGCUUGGGUGCAGAAGCUCAAGAUUUUGGUCUGUUCGACCAUUAAAUUUUUACAUGAUCUGAGUUCAGACCGGCGUGAGCCAGGUCGGUUUCUAUCUUUAUUAAGAUAAAAUGUUUUAGUACGAAAGGACCAAAUAUUUAAUAUAAUUAUAUUUAUUUUUUGAAGAAUAUU
rnacentral:rRNA from 1 species